GAUGAACGCUGGCGGCGUGCCUAACACAUGCAAGUCGAACGAAGCUCUCUUGUUGAUUUUUUCGGAAUGAUUCAAGAGAAGACUUAGUGGCGGACGGGUGAGUAACGCGUGGAUAACCUGCCCUUUGCAGGGGGAUAACAGUUAGAAAUGACUGCUAAUACCGCAUAAGCGCACACUAUCGCAUGAUAGAGUGUGAAAAGCCGAGACGGCAAAGGAUGGGUCCGCGUCUGAUUAGCUAGUUGGUGAGGUAACGGCCCACCAAGGCGACGAUCAGUAGCCGGCCUGAGAGGGCGACCGGCCACAUUGGGACUGAGACACGGCCCAA
rnacentral:rRNA from 1 species